GAAUCGGACAGUCGGUACCUAGACCCCGCCACGUGGUACAGAGCAAUAGCGCGAGUGGAUUGUCGCUGAAAGGAAAAGAAAACCCGUCGAUAGAUCUAUCACGAUUCCUUCUUUACCAUGGGAGGAAAUUAAUAGAACGAUGCGAAUGGAGAAAUCGAGAAAUAGACUUUUUACCUUCUACCAGGAUUGGAUUCUUAAUCUUGCGAUUAUUAUGGAUUUUACGCUUCUUGCUGGUGAAUUACUGAACCGAGAAGUCGAGUUUUUGUUUAUGAAUCUCGACCAACAUUGAAACGAAACCGCUGAAACCGGUCGGGGAGAAACUGGAUGGAGUCAUCGAGGAAGAGAGGAUCGUCGCGAUCGGGUGGACACCCCCGACGGCGCGACGUUGUCUAAAAGUUGGUCGC